AAUCUUCUUCGCUUUCUCUCUCAUCUCCCUUGUUCUUCUUCCUUGAAUUCUACUCAAACGCUACAAAAUCUGGGUGUUCUUUGGGUGAAUUCGGGACAAAAAGGGGAUAUUUGAAGCGAUUUCGAUCUCACCCCCAAUUCAUCAAUGGCAGAUUCACCUCAAAUUACUCAGAAACACAAGGCUCCAUGAGGGUUCGAUCUCACCCCCAAUUCAUCAACAGCCAUUGAUCUUCUUCCAGUGAUUUGGUGGUGCAAGUGGUGGGAAGUCCGACGAAUCCACCAUUGUCGCCGACGAAGGUUGAAGGCUGGCCAAUUCCGCAAACUCCAAGAAGAGGAAGGAACCCGAGAAGUUGCAGAAGGUUGAAGAAGUGGGUCCUGUUUGGUGGGUUGAAACCUCCAAGAACAUCUCCCUUCAUUUUCAAUUCGAUCCAGAUGUUUCUGAUAGUUUUGCUUAUGAGGGUGCAGUACUGAACGAACUAAAGCAGUGGAAGGAGCUCUAUGGAGAAGGAGGGUCAAGAAAUGAGCAACUUACUUACUUCUUAUAGGAAGGUGGUAUGGAGAAGGCGGGUCAAGAAAGAAGGAUCAGUUGUAAGAGAACUCUGAGUCCUCUUUGGCAAUAGAUACAUAUCAUAAGGCACUGAAGGAAGCUUAUGUAAUUUGUAUUUCUUGUUAAACACUUUUGGUGGGCGAGUGGGAAAAAGCGAGUUUUAGAUAUAGAUGCAACGAGGGCUUACAUAUAUCUACUUAUACCGUAUUCUGUAUUAAGAGUUUGCUCAUGUUGUAUAAGAAAAAUAAAGCCUAAUUUAACUUACAAUUAA